rnacentral:lncRNA from 1 species
CCUUGGCUUCAGGACAAGCUUUAUUAAUGUUUCGCUUUAACAAACAUCAUAGUACGAAGGCAUCAGUUCUUUAAGUUCUCCAAUACGUGGCACAGACAAAAGGAAAAAUAAGACUCCGAGGCAAAUUCAGCAUGUGAGUGGGAGAGUAACAGAAGAGGCAUGUGUUAAUUGAUAGAGGUGCUAGACCAUCUAUUAGAAGACAUUUUGCAAGCAACAGUCCACGUUGCAUUGAAGUAAAAACAUUUUUUUGGAUCAAUAAAAUUACCUUUUUUUAAAUUAUUAUUUUCUUCAAACAUUCCUUUUUAUCACAAAUGUCAGGGUAAGGCAAAUCCUGGAUGAACCAUAUGAUAAAAACCCUUAUUCCCCAAGAAAAUAGAUCUGCAUACUGUUAAAGAAGUUUGUAAUUCCAGAAGCAAAGCUGGCAUGCACUGCAUAUAGAGAAAAGUCUUUGUUGUUGUUGUUGUUUUAAUUAUAUUUUUAUUCAAGUGCCUAAAGCAGAACAGUGUUAAUUCACAGAGAGGCUUUCUCAGUGCUUUAGAGAAAGAUUGACAAUUAGUUGCAGCAAACAUGUGACCUGUUAUUACAGACUGCGUCUCAAACAUCCCCUUUGGAUGUCUGUGUGGAAGGAAACCCAUUCGUCAUUGCAGCAGUCACAGCCCGAGGAAUAUCGUGCUAAUGGUAGGGAUGAGUGCUUCCAGACAUAGGAGGAACAACCACCAAGCAAAGCCUGAUACUCUUGUAUGCAAACGUCAGCACCAAAGGGCUGCUAUUCCCUUUAUGCCACCUACUGCGAACAGAUUUUGGGUUUAAACCAAAAUCCUUGGCAUAAGUCCCUGCAGGGUGAUUUGAUCUGAAUCUUGCUCUUCCACAAAACCAUCUCCCUGUACCUCUGCAGCUCCAGCAAGAGUGGUGGAGACUGCAUUGAGGGGCACAGCUCUAGCCUCGACUACUAACUCAGCUGAAGAAAUCAUGCUGCCAAACUAUACUCACUUUAUGGCUAGUGAAAACCCCCACAACUCAAACCAAAACACACCUGAAGAAAAACACCUAGAGACACAGCUGCAAAUUGCCCUGUAAGGACUUUAUCAACUCUGUGUUUCCUUACUUUACACUUCCUACCUGAGCUUCACGCUUUGCUGCUCCGUCCUUGGGUUCAUGGUUUCAAAGACUCACUGCUGUUUGAGGACCAAGGUUAAAUGAAAAGGGCAAUGAAAUUACUGUCAGGGAUUAGUGUCUGAUGCGAUGCACCUGAUAACCUGCUCACCUUGGAUCUCCUCAACAUUUCACACAGCUCUAAGUCGAGCUUGCCCAGUUCAUUCCCCACCCUGCAGGGCUAAUUCCUUCACUUACCUACAUGGAGGGAGCCCUUCAAUCCUGGUCUUUCCACAGCACAAAACAGGAAUUGAAAGGAGAGAUGCCCAGUGCAUUUACUUCCUUCCUCCCCAGGUAUUUAUCCACUCCUGCCCCACCCAUGAGGACAGGCUGUUUCAAAGUUACCCAGUAUGGAAAACAUACAGGAACAUAUGGGAUGCACACCAUGUAGAUGUACUACCUGUAAGGUCUCCCACUGCAAAAAAACUGCAAUUGGCUGGAAGCAAGGUGAAGGAACAGCAGGAAAAAAAAGUACAUGUUCCAAAAGACAUGUUCUGUCAAGCAUAACCCCAGGGAGGGGAAAGAAAAGCAGAGACACCACAGAGACACCGCAAGAGGAGUCCUUUCAAGGGUGCUCAGAGGAGGACAAGGGCCAGAGGAGCGGUAUCUAGCAAAUUUAGGUAAACUUAGCAAUAUUAUAAACCCAAUUCUUAGGAUUUUACAUCAGCUCAUUUACUCUUUCCACAGUCGAUCCAAUACAGAGUUAUGCAUCCACUGACCUCCAGGACAAAUACAUAAUGAUGAUGAAGCUCCUCAAGAUCUUCUCCAGCAUAAGUGCUACCUGGGUUAAAAUGCCACAGGAGCUGGCACACAGAAAUACUCUCCAGAUCUCACCCCAAGCAAACUUGCUGGAGCUGCACAUAGGCAGGCAGGGGCAGCCUUUCUAGGGGCCAUACUCUCCAGGUGAAAUCUGGGGCUUUUCUUGCUUCCCUUUUUAAUCCUUGUUUGUCCUGACACCCUUUCUAACCAACCUGCUGUUGAUGGGAGCCAUCAACUGCUGUAGCCAGUGCUAGGUGCAUUUGGCCACAUUUGACUUGCUGUUACACCAGAAGAUGAUUUAUCCCCAAACCUAUUCUGGCUGGGAUAAACCUACAUC